rnacentral:rRNA from 1 species
UAUGAACCUGGUUUAUAACUUAUUCGAUUAAUUUACAACCUACUAUUAAAUCCUAAAUUUAUUAGCUUUAAGUUACUGCAUUUCAGUCUCCCUUGGUUGGGCUGCAUGUUAUUUGGGAAAAAUUUAAAUGUUAAUUUAUUUUUUAACAACCACACACAAACACUAACCAAGUAAACAAAAUUGAGGGUUAUCAAAUUAAGCACCAAAAUUCUCUAAAAAGAAUAAACCACUGCCAUGUAGUUUAGGUUUAUUUUACUACCUAAAAUUAUUUCAUACCUGGAUUCUACCCCAGUUUUGUAGCUUGAUUUUAAUAUUUUAACCCUUUUUCCCAUAUCCUUAAAACUGAAAAAGAAAGAAAGUUUAAAAUUAUCCAUUAAAUAAAAUUUAAUUUAAAAGUA